rnacentral:rRNA from 1 species
AAAAAAUGGCGUGCUUUACACAUGCAAGUCGAGCGGACUUGAUGGAGUGCUUGCACUCCUGAUGGUUAGCGGCGGACGGGUGAGUAACACGUAGGCAACCUGCCCUCAAGACUGGGAUAACUACCGGAAACGGUAGCUAAUACCGGAUAAUUUAUUUUGCAGCAUUGUGGAAUAAUGAAAGGCGGAGCAAUCUGUCACUUGAGGAUGGGCCUGCGGCGCAUUAGCUAGUUGGUGGGGUAACGGCCCACCAAGGCGACGAUGCGUAGCCGACCUGAGAGGGUGAACGGCCACACUGGGACUGAGACACGGCCCAGACUCCUACGGGAGGCAGCAGUAGGGAAUCUUCCGCAAUGGGCGAAAGCCUGACGGAGCAACGCCGCGUGAGUGAUGAAGGUUUUCGGAUCGUAAAGCUCUGUUGCCAAGGAAGAACGUCUCUAGAGUAACGCAGGAGAGGACGUAUGGAGGGC